GACGAACGCUGGCGGCGUGCCUAAUACAUGCAAGUUGAGCGAUGAAGAUUGGUGCUUGCCCCAAUUUGAAGAGCAGCGAACGGGUGAGUAACGCGUGGGGAAUCUGCCUUUGAGCGGGGGACAACAUUUGGAAACGAAUGCUAAUACCGCAUAAUAACUUUAAACAUAAGUUUUAAGUUUGAAAGAUGCAAUUGCAUCACUCAAAGAUGAUCCCGCGUUGUAUUAGCUAGUUGGUGAGGUAAAGGCUCACCAAGGCGAUGAUACAUAGCCGACCUGAGAGGGUGAUCGGCCACAAUGGGACUGAGACACGGCCCAAACUCCUACGGGAGGCAGCAGUAGGGAAUCUUCGGCAAUGGACGAAAGUCUGACCGAGCAACGCCGCGUGAGUGAAGAAGGGUUUCGGAUCGGAAAACUCUGUUGGUAGAGAAGAACGUUGGUGAGAGUGGAAAGCUCAUCAAGUGACGGUAACUACCCAGAAAGGGACGGCUAACUACGUG
rnacentral:rRNA from 1 species